CAGUCGCCGCGGUAAUACGUAGGUGGCAAGCGUUGUCCGGAACUAUUGGGCGUAAAGGGCCCGCAGGCGGUUUCUUAAGUCUGAUGUGAAAGCCCCCGGCUCAACCGGGGAGGGUCAUUGGAAACUGGGAAACUUGAGUGCAGAAGAGGAGAGUGGAAUUCCACGUGUAGCGGUGAAAUGCGUAGAGAUGUGGAGGAACACCAGUGGCGAAGGCGACUCUCUGGUCUGUAACUGACGCUGAGGAGCGAAAGCGUGGGGAGCGAACAGGAUUAGAUACCCCUGUAGUCCCUGUCUCUUAUAC
rnacentral:rRNA from 1 species